rnacentral:misc_RNA from 1 species
ACACACACACACACACACAUUUAUGUGUAUGUAUGAUCUAGAAGGGUGAAUCUACAUAUAUACCCAAGUUUCCUUAGUUAUUUUUAUUUUCAAUUUGAGGAAGAUGGAUUCGGUGAAAAAUCAGAAAGCUUUGUUUCUUUCAAUUUACAAUUCAAGAGAAGGUGCUGGAUGCUUUUCUGUGUCAUUUCAGUCGUGUGCGGGUAUAUAUAUAUAUAUAUAAUCUUGGAAAAAAGGUUUAUCAGAAGUUGUGAGGAGGGAAGAUUAGGGAAUUAAUAUUUCAUGCCUGAGAUUCUAGACUUAUGAGGUUCCAUAAAAAUGAAAUGCCGUCAAAUAAAUGAAACAUUUCCUAGGGAUGGUAGCAUUAGAUGUCACUGAUGUGUUGUUAGAGGCAGAAAGCUAAAAAGUGAUCCAGGGAUGUUAGAGCUGGUAUCAAUGUAUACCAUACAAAUUGGUCUUGCAAAUGUGAUUAAGAAUCUCUAUCUGGUCUGGUGACUUGCAGGAUAGAUAGGUGGUGGCAUUUGGGCAGAGCUUUUUCCUUUUGGGCUUGGAUUAUUAGGCACUGAAAUUUGGAGAGAAUUGGUUACAUGAGAGACUAGUGUUCUCUAGGUAGAUGUGGCUCAAUCUUUUUGGUGUAUUUCUGUUUCUACUAAUAUCAAGAAGCACUGUGUCAAAAUUUUCAGUAUUUUGAACACUUGCAUUUUUAGACUUUGUCAACCAUAUUUGUUGGCUCCCAAAUGAGAGCAAGCACAAAUCUUUUUAAUUUUUUUGAAAUGGAGUAGCUGCAGAAAGAUGUGGUAUUUUUUAACAAUCCAAGGAUGAUAACAUGGCUAUAGCCAUGAUGAAGUGUUUUCAACUCAGGCAUAUUUAAAUGCACAGUUGCAUUUAAGGCAACUUGUAGUGGUUAGGUUGGAUGCCUCGUGCAUAUCUUUGGUUCCAAUUAAUGAUUUGACACAAACUACUUUAUUCUUGGCAAUUUUUUGACAAUUCAAUGAUUUUUCUAGAAUGCUUGUGUAACAGCCAUUGUGGCAGGAAAUAAAUUCUAGUUCCAUGUGUAGGUGACUACAAAUCCAAGUGCAGUGGGCGGGUGCAGCUGUAAAAGUUCAUUCAUGGUACAACAAUAGUACUAUCAAAGCUCCAUACAGUUCCAACACAACUGAGAAGUCAUCAAUAUUAAUUUUCAUCAGUGCUUAUUGAAUCUACUUUUAACCUGAUUUUUCCCCCAGCUAUCAUUAUAGUCUAGUGGUUGUGCCCAUCCCUUGUAUAACAAUAAUGUGAUGAGGACUUUUUUGUAUUCUAUAUUUUUUAAUGAUCACAACCAUAGUGUAAUUAAUAUAAUUUUCACAAUGUGGAAAUUAUUAUACUGGUUUUUCUUGUCCAAAUGUGGGAUUGUGUUUUCAGAUUAUACAAUUUAUAUUGGAAGAAGAUAAAUGGAGUCAUCCUUUUUUGCUGGUUGGCAAUGGGGCGGGUUCCACCCCAAACAGGGUGGCUAUUGGGGCUAAUAUGGGUGGUGAUGGGGUGGGUACCUGGAUCAGAUUUGGGUUGGGGUGGCUUAUGACUUAUGAGUAUAAAACUCGCCCCUGAUUAUAUAUGCAUUAAUAUAAGCUUCCCUAAUAGUAACAUUAUUUACAGAAAUGCCAUUAUAUAUGCAUGUUAUCCUUCUCCCAAAUUCUAUCUCGAAGAGCUCCAAUCAACUUCAAGCUCUUAAUUUCUACUUAUUUGUUCUCUCAUCAUCAAGUUUAUUUCCAUAUAUAAAAGGGAUUUGAUGCCAACAUUCCUUCAUCUCCUAUGUUUCAUCAGGUUUCUCGUUUCUUAUGCUUUUUCAUGUCUAAAUAGCAUGCUAAUUUUGGGAUUUUUUUUUAAUCAAGUUUGGUGCAUUUUCCUUGUUCUGCAGUGCCCUGCUAUCAUUAUCUCUGCUGGAUUUUCAGUUUGGUAGGUCUCUGUUUUAUAUGCUGCUCCGUUUGUUGUAGGAUGUUUUCUUCUCAAGUCUACAGCCUCUGUGGCUUUUGCUUUUGUUCAUGGCCUUUGCUUUGCUAUGAGGUUGGGGUGGGGGUGGGGGCGGGGGUGGUGUUUGUUUCUUGUUAAUAGGGCGGGUAACAGUUGGGGAAGUCCUACCUAUGAUGAGGUGGUGUAUUGCCCUCGCCAAUAUUUAGUCGCCUUGAAAGCACGAAAACCCUUUUGUUCAAGGAACAUUUUGGAAAUAUAAACCGUGUUUGUAGUCAAAGAAACAAAUAUUUC